UUCAAAGGUAAUGGCCGAUUCAGGAGAAGGCUCUCGCGAAAGGAAAGUUGUAUUGCGAGUAAAGAGAAGGAAUGUUCUGCCGAGUUUGAGUCUUGGAAAAAGGUGCCUGAGGAGUUCAAGAAGUUCAUGCUAGGGGAGUUAUCGGUUCAUUGGGAUGUUAAUGAAACCGAUGAGAAGUAGCGGAAGUAUCUGGAUGACCUUUUCAAGAAGCAUUUCUGGCAGUGGAAGUUAAAUGUGUUGCAGGAUGCGGAGCAAGGUGUUGCUGCCCCAGUGGAGGAGGAUUGAAGUUGAAUUGUAUUUUUUAAUUUUUUUUAUGAAAUAAGAUUUUUAGGACAUCAUAUUUGAUUUUAAUUAAUAAAUUUAUGUUAUAUGGAUGAUUAAUAUUUACAUUAA